CCAACAUGGAUACCCUGGGAAGUCACUCUCCCCAGGCUCUGUCUAAAUGGCAUAGGGGAGCAUAGGGUCCCAUCCCAGGAUGUACUGUCCUUUGCCACAAGUUAGAGAUGAAGCUGGGUCUGGUGUCUGUGCCUGAAUAUUCCUACAGCUUCUGAGUCCUGUGGACAAUGACAGAGGAGACAGACCAUGCAGGAAAUUUGU
rnacentral:snoRNA from 10 species